GAGAGCAUCGGGCGACACCCGAGCAGGGAGCGGUCCGGCGCGGGAGCCACCUGCAUCUCCUCUCUGUCACCGCAUGGUUUCCUUCAAAGCUCUUCCUUCUCUACUGGACUUCAUAAUCUAAAGUGCAAGUUGGACACCAAACAUCAUUAAAGUGGACUCAGAGUGGGCCAUUCUGUGGACUUCUGAAGUUGGAAAUAAAAACUUCUGCUUUCCUCCUUGUGACAUUCC